AAACACUCGUACUAACAUGUAUCUCUUAUCAGGGCAAACAAGAAACAAUGAAAAAAAUGUCAGUGGAGGAAAAUACCUCAAACACGGCAGCUGGUAGAGCUAAAGAAUGGAGAGACAUACAAUGGACAUCUUGUAAGCUGUGACAACUGGAUGAACAUAAAUCUAAGAGAAGUCAUUUGUACUUCCAGAGAUGGAGACAGGUUUUAGAAGAUACCUGAAUGUUAUGUCAGGGGUAGCAACAUAAAAUAUCUUAGGAUUCCAGAUGAGGUUAUUGACAUGGUAAAAUAUGAAAUGGUAAAACAAGGAAGAAGCAGAGGCACAGGAAGACCAGGUAUGACAAAUUACCGGAC
rnacentral:misc_RNA from 1 species